rnacentral:snRNA from 14 species
UGCCUUACCUAGCAGGUGAGAUACCAUAAUCAAAAAGGUGGUUUGACCCCUGCGACUUUCUCAGAACAAUUCUCCCAGGGUGAGACCUGUCCAUUGCACUCCAGGCAGGCUGACCCCCCGAGUUUCCCCAAAUGCAGUUAACUUGACUGCACAAUUUUGUGGCAAUGGGGGACCUGUGUCCACACUUCCCCCAU